GACGAACCGUGCGAACGUUGUUCGGAAUCACUGGGCUUAAAGGGUGCGUAGGCGGGCGAUCAAGUCAGGGGUGAAAUCCUCCAGCUUAACUGGAGAACUGCCUUUGAUACUGGUCAUCUUGAGUGAGAUAGGGGCGUGCGGAACUGAUGGUGGAGCGGUGAAAUGUGUUGAUAUCAUCAGGAACUCCGGUGGCGAAAGCGGCGCGCUGGACCUUUACUGACGCUGAGGCACGAAAGCCAGGGGAGCGAACGGG
rnacentral:rRNA from 1 species